UUCCGGUUGAUCCUGCCAGAGGUCACUGCUAUCGGUGUCCGAUUAAGCCAUGCGAGUCGAGAGGUGUAAGACCUCGGCAGACUGCUCAGUAACACGUGGAUAACCUGCCCAAGGGUCCGGGAUAACCCCGGGAAACUGGGGAUAAUACCGGAUGGGUCACCAGUGCUGGAAUGCUUGGUGGUCGAAAGGUGACGCCUUUGGAUGGGUCUGCGGCGGAUUAGGUUGACGCCGGUGUAACGUACCGGCGUGCCUGUAAUCCGUACGGGUUGUGGGAGCAAGAGCCCGGAGAUGGAUUCUGAGACACGAAUCCAGGCCCUACGGGGCGCAGCAGGCGCGAAAACUCUACAAUGCAGGCAACUGCGAUAGGGGGACAUCGAGUGGCAUCCACCUUGGGUGUCUGUCCAACCGUCUAAAAAACGGUUGUUAGCAAGGGCCGGGCAAGACCGGUGCCAGCCGCCGCGGUAAUACCGGCGGCUCGAGUGGUGGCCGAUAUUAUUGAGUCUAAAGGGUCCGUAGCCGGCUUUGCAAGUCCCCUGGGAAAUCCGGCGGCUUAACCGUUGGGCUUUCAUGGGAUACUACAUUGCUUGGGACUGGGAGAGGUAGGAGGUACUCGGGGGGUAGGGGUGAAAUCCUGUAAUCCUCCGGGGACCACCGGUGGCGAAAGCGUCCUACCAGAACAGGUCCGACGGUGAGGGACGAAAGCUAGGGGCACGAACCGGAUUAGAUACCCGGGUAGUCCUAGCCGUAAACGAUGCCCGCUAGGUGUCACGACGGUCGUGAAUCGUCGUGGUGCCGUAGGGAAGCCGCGAAGCGGGCCACUUGGGAAGUACGGCCGCAAGGCUGAAACUUAAAGGAAUUGGCGGGA
rnacentral:rRNA from 1 species